rnacentral:rRNA from 1 species
CUGCUGCCUCCCGUAGGAGUCUGGUCCGUGUCUCAGUACCAGUGUGGGGGACCUUCCUCUCAGAACCCCUACCGCAUCGUCGCCUCGGUGGGCCGUUACCCCGCCGACUAGCUAAUGCGCCGCAUGGCCAUCCGCAGCCGAUAAAUCUUUAAACAUCGGGAGAUGCCUCCCCAACGUUGUUACGCGGUAUUAGACGGAAUUUCUUCCGCUUAUCCCCCUGCUGCGGGCAGGUUCCAUACGUGUUACUCACCCGUGCGCCGGUCGCCGG